rnacentral:misc_RNA from 1 species
UCCAGUUUAUCACCGGCAGUCUUGCUAGAGUGCCCAGCAUUACCUGAUGGCAACUAACAAUAAAGGUUGCGCUCGUUGCGGGACUUAACCCAACACUUCACAGCACGAGCUGACGACAGCCAUGCAGCACCUGUGAAAAGGUCCCUUGCGGGAAGACACACUUUCAUGUGCUGUCCUAACCAUGUCAAGCCUGGGUAAGGUUCUUCGCGUAGCCUCGAAUUAAACCACAUGCUCCACCGCUUGUGCGGGUCCCCGUCAAUUUCUUUGAGUUUCAGUCUUGCGACCGUACUCCCCAGGUGGUGGAUUUAAUGCGUUAGCGUCGGCACCGGGGGGAUCGACACCCCCGACACCUAAUCCACAUCGUUUACGGCAAGGACUAC